AUUGAACGCUGGCGGCAGGCUUAACACAUGCAAGUCGAACGGGUGUAGCAAUACAUCAGUGGCAGACGGGUGAGUAACACGUGGGAACCUUCCUAGGGGUACGGAACAACUCAGGGAAACUUGAGCUAAUACCGUAUACGUCCGUGAGGAGAAAGAUUUAUCGCCCUUAGACGGGCCCGCGUCGGAUUAGCUAGUUGGUGGGGUAACGGCCUACCAAGGCGACGAUCCGUAGCUGAUCUUAGAGGAUGAUCAGCCACACUGGGACUGAGACACGGCCCAGACUCCUACGGGAGGCAGCAGUGGGGAAUCUUGGACAAUGGGCGCAAGCCUGAUCCAGCCAUGCCGCGUGAGUGAAGAAGGUCUUCGGAUUGUAAAGCUCUUUUGCCAGGGACGAUAAUGACGGUACCUGGAGAAUAAGCCCCGGCAAACUUCGUGCCAGCAGCCGCGGUAA
rnacentral:rRNA from 1 species